CGAAAAAAAAAACACUAAAGAAAUACGUAGAUAUGUUUCUAGCUUGUCCAAAAUCCAAGGUAACAAUAAAAUUAAAGUUUUAUUACAGUAAGUUGAAAAAUGCUGUGGAAACUGCCAAAAUUGCCGUAGAUAGCUGUUACGUUCUACGGCAUUUUUUAACGUCAUUGGCGUCGAUUGAUUUCAGGGAAAUUCGAGGCCUGACUCAUGGAGCACUAGCGCUCUCCCCUUGACAAGUAAAAUAUUUUGUCGUCAGAAAGAGUAAAAUAAUAAAGUAUAGGGCGUAAUGGGUUAAUAGCAAGUUUAAACAAGCGACGUUUUUGACGGGGGGGGGGCUGGAUUAAAAACUGUGUUUGUGUCAGUUUCAACA